rnacentral:lncRNA from 1 species
CAUUUUUGAUUGAGAAAUAGGGUUUUGUGUGUGAAUGUAGACUUUUUAUGUUUAGAAUUUAAACUAGAAACAAAUUUAUGUUUUAUUAAAAAAAAUUAAUAGAUUUUUCGUAUACAGGUAUCACUUGAACACUCGCCUGCCGUACAUCAAGCUGUACAUAGAAAACGAAGAGUUCAAUAUAGACGGACAACGCUGCGAGAACAUCAUGACUUGUCCCAUGCGGCCCAUUACUUCAGGUUCAGAGAACUGUCCAUACGACUACAUCAGGAUAUACGACGGCAAGGACGAGUCGGCAUCCGUGAUCGGCACCUUCUGCGGCAUGGGCAAGUUCCCCUACUCCAUCAUCGGCACCUCGCAGGACCUGUUCGUGGAGUUCAUCAGUUCACCCGCUGGUCCGUUACUGAACACCGG